UGAACGCUGGCGGCAGGCCUAACACAUGCAAGUCGAACGGUAACAUGUCUAGCUUGCUAGAUGAUGACGAGUGGCGGACGGGUGAGUAAUGCUUGGGAAUUUGCCUUUGCGCGGGGGAUAACAGUUGGAAACGACUGCUAAUACCGCAUAAUACCUACGGGUCAAAGGGGGGAGUUUACUCCUCUCACGCGAAGAGAAGCCCAAGUGAGAUUAGCUAGUUGGUGGGGUAAAGGCUCACCAAGGCGACGAUCUCUAGCUGUUCUGAGAGGAAGAUCAGCCACACUGGGACUGAGACACGGCCCAGACUCCUACGGGAGGCAGCAGUGGGGAAUAUUGCACAAUGGGGGGAACCCUGAUGCAGCCAUGCCGCGUGUGUGAAGAAGGCCUUCGGGUUGUAAAGCACUUUCAGUUAUGAGGAAAGGUUAGUAGUUAAUACCUGCUAGCUGUGACGUUAAUAACAGAAGAAGCACCGGCUAACUCC
rnacentral:rRNA from 1 species